CCUACGGGGGGCAGCAGUAGGGAAUUUUGCGCAAUGGGGGAAACCCUGACGCAGCAACGCCGCGUGACCGAUGAAGCUUCUAGGAGUGUAAAGGUCUGUCGUAGGGGAAGAACAAUUCGAAAUUUAAUACAUUUCGUUUCUGACGGUACCUUACAAGAAAGCACCGGCUAACUUCGUGCCAGCAGCCGCGGUAAUACGAGGGGUGCAAGCGUUGUCCGGAAUCACUGGGCGUAAAGGGUCCGUAGGCGUCUUAAUAAGUCAUUUGUUAAAGACACCGGCUUAACCGGUGGAGUGCAAUUGAAACUAUUAAGAUAGAGUAUAGGAGAGGAAAGUGGAAUUCCUGGUGUAGCGGUGACAUGCGUAGAUAUCAGGAGGAACACCAAUGGCGAAGGCAGCUUUCUGGCCUAUUACUGACGCUGAGGGACGAAAGCGUGGGGAGC
rnacentral:rRNA from 1 species